rnacentral:rRNA from 1 species
GUGAACGCUGGCGGUAGGCCUAACACAUGCAAGUCGAACGGCAGCACAGUAAGAGCUUGCUCUUACGGGUGGCGAGUGGCGGACGGGUGAGGAGUACAUCGGAAUCUACUUUUUCGUGGGGGAUAACGUAGUGAAACUUACGCUAAUACCGCAUACGACCUACGGGUGAAAGCAGGGGAUCUUCGGACCUUGCGCGAUUGAAUGAGCCGAUGUCGGAUUAGCUAGUUGGCGGGGUAAAGGCCCACCAAGGCGACGAUCCGUAGCUGGUCUGAGAGGAUGAUCAGCCACACUGGAACUGAGACACGGUCCAGACUCCUACGGGAGGCAGCAGUGGGGAAUAUUGGACAAUGGGCGCAAGCCUGAUCCAGCCAUACCGCGUGGGUGAAGAAGGCCUUCGGGUUGUAAAGCCCUUUUGUUGGGAAAGAAAAGCAGCAGGUUAAUACCCCGCUGUUCUGACGGUACCCAAAGAAUAAGCACCGGCUAACUUCGUG